ensembl:lncRNA
GCGUCAGGUUUGAACUAGAAAGUGGCAAGUGUGUAAAAGAAAGUGGGACGUGAGAAGCAGUAGAAUGUUGACUCCAACCCCUGGGAGCUACAGGGUCACCUAAUAAACACGGAAGCUGUGACUCCUCUCCAACACAUCUGGAUUUUCCUAAUGAUUCCUAAGAAGACUGGAGGCCCGAACAGACAUCUCAUGGCUAGAUUCCAUGGAGUCUGAACUUUCCAGCGGAAAUCUCUACCACUCCUGUUCAAGUCACACAUCCAGAUGACGGUUGGCUCAGCUGAAGCAGGUGUUCAGGCCUGAUUCCAACUUUCGGUUCACCACAAUCUUCAAUUUACCAGAACCUCCUUUUCACCAGCUGAGGGAACUCCUCCAGCAGCUGCUGCUCUGAGGCUCUACUGUCCUGCCCAGGAAUGUCCCCGGUUACAUCAUGUUAACUGAAACAGCGUUGCGGACAGCAGUCCUGCUAAACAUGCUCAGUCUGGUCCCACCUUGGCCAGAGAUGAGGCUCCUGCCUUCGUGCCAGCAUCACCCCUCAAUCCACUCUCCAUCCUCCUCCUGGCUCUGUGUUCCAGAAGUUUGACACAUGUGGACUACAUCAACGAGCUCCCUUGCCCUCCAGUUUCCAGUUGAAGUCAGCCCAUGGGAAGCACUAGCAGGAGAGAAGAGAAUUCCCUGGUGACUGACCUGUGCAGGCCUUCAAACGAGCUGCAGGAAUUCGGAGCGACAACCCCCGGCCUUCCAUAAAGCAGCAGUCUGCCCCCAGAAACAAGCGCAGCAUUGCCUGGAGCAGGAGAAGGGCGGCAAGGCUCCCAGCAAGCGGCCAGUCCAGCAGCUGCGGAGAAAGAGACAUUUUUGGAGUCAGAGACAAGUUGCAGGGUUUGUCCAUAGCCCUUUAAUUUUCUAUUACCCCGUGAUUCUUUCCACUUCGGUGACACUCCCAGAUGCUACGAACUGAGCUUUUGGAUCUCCCCAAGGAAUUCAGCAGUGUCAGAUCCUUAGACACAAGACACUAAAUCGUCGGAGGAAUUACUAAAGGGCUCUCCCACCACUGGUUCCAGGGAGGGCUUCCCACUGACAGCCAAAAGAAAAAAAGAAAAAAGGUGCUAAAACUCAGCUCACUUGCAUUUACACCUUGUAAACCUCAUUUGCAUGUGUCACAGCUAGGUUCCAGUGUGUGGAGCUGCAGAGACAGCCACCAAACGUUGCAUCCUGCCAACCCCUGGGCCUGUCAGUCACACCGACCACAAGUCAGUUACACUGACUCUCCAUGCCCCUCCCCACCUGCGGGGGACACAAAGAUCAGUCACAAAGUUUUAUUUGUGGCCUCAGUUCAUCGAGAUGGGUGGAAAAUUCCGGAGGUGUGCAGAAUAUAGGACACACCCCUGGAAAAUGCGUGCUUCAUUCCUUGCUAGAGCUUUAAUCCUAUGUUCUUCAACGGUCUCCUACUCUGGUGAGUUGGGCUUAACCACACAUGAAUGGUGUAUUAGUCAGGAUUAGGCUCCUUAGCAACUGACAGUAGCUUAAGCAAGGUAGAACUUUAUUUUCCUCAUGUAAAUGAAAUCCAGAGGACUCACAGGGCGGCUGUGUGAAAACUGGGAACUCAGGCUCUUAGCUUACUUCUCUGCCACUCUCAGUACAUGACUUCUACCUCAUGGUCCAAUAUGGCUGCUCUCACUCCAGCCACCACACAUGCAUCGUAGGCCAGGGCUGAGCAAAGUACUGCUCUCAAGCCAAAUCCAGUCCUCCUCCUGUUUUGCUAAAUAAGGUCUUAUUUGGAACACAGCCAUACCCAUUUGUUUACAUUUAGUCUGUAGCUGCUUUUGAAGUUCAGCAACAGAACUGGGUAGUCGUGACAGAGAUCACAUGGCCCACAGAGCUGAAA